GAUGAACGCUGGCGGCGCGCCUAACACAUGCCAGUCGAACGAUUAAAGCACCUUCGGGUGUGUAUAAAGUGGCGAACGGCUGAGUAACACGUGGGCAACCUGCCCCUUUCAUUGGGAUAGCCACGGGAAACCGUGGAUAAUACCGAAUACUUCGAGACUUCCGCAUGGAAGACUCGAGAAAGCUCCGGCGGAGAGGGAUGGGCCCGCGGCCUGUUAGCUUGUUGGUGGGGUAACGGCCUACCAAGGCAAUGAUGAGUAGCUGGGUUGAGAGACCGACCAGCCAGAUUGGGACUGAGACACGGCCCAGACUCCUACGGGAGGCAGCAGUGGGGAAUCUUGCACAAUGGGCGAAAGCCUGAUGCAGCGACGCCGCGUGCGGGAUGAAGGCCUUCGGGUUGUAAACCGCUUUCAGCAGGGACGAGGCGAAAGUGACGGUACCUGCAGAAGAAGCCCCGGCUAACUACGUG
rnacentral:rRNA from 1 species